AGUGAACGCUGGCGGUAGGCCUAACACAUGCAAGUCGAACGGCAGCACAGAGGAGCUUGCUCCUUGGGUGGCGAGUGGCGGACGGGUGAGGAAUACAUCGGAAUCUACUCUGUCGUGGGGGACAACGUAGGGAAACUUACGCUAAUACCGCAUACGACCUACGGGUGUAAGCAGGGGACCUUCGGGCCUUGCGCGAUUGAAUGAGCCGAUGUCGGAUUAGCUAGUUGGCGGGGUAAAGGCCCACCAAGGCGACGAUCCGUAGCUGGUCUGAGAGGAUGAUCAGGCACACUGGAACUGGGACACGGUCCAGACUCCUCCGGGAGGCAGCGGUGGGGAAUAUUGGACAAUGGGCGCAAGCCUGAUCCAGCCAUACCGCGUGGGUGAAGAAGGCCUUCGGGUUGUAAAGCCCUUUUGUUGGGAAAGAAAUCCAGCUGGUUAAUUCCCGGUUGGGAUGACGGUACCCAAAGAAUAAGCACCGGCUAACUUCGUGCCAGCAGCCGCCGUAA
rnacentral:rRNA from 1 species